UGGCGAACGGGUGAGUAACACGUGGGUAAUCUGCCCUGCACUCUGGGAUAAGCCUGGGAAACUGGGUCUAAUACUGGAUAUGACCUUUCUCCUUAUGGGGUUUGGUGGAAAGUUUUUCGGUGUAGGAUGAGCCCGCGGCCUAUCAGCUUGUUGGUGGGGUGAUGGCCUACCAAGGCGACGACGGGUAGCCGGCCUGAGAGGGUGAUCGGCCACAUUGGUACUGAGAUACGGCCCAG
rnacentral:rRNA from 1 species